rnacentral:lncRNA from 1 species
CUCACCUGAAGGCUCACAGCUGAGUCCACAGAGCCCAAGGAGAGUCUGAGAUUGCAGAGGAUGGAGCAGGGCACCUGGUGUCGUCCACUGUGGCUGUGCGUGAAGCAGAAGUGCUGGGUGAGUCACUCUGACGUCACCCUUCUCUGAUGUUUAUGUCUCUAUAGGAUGCUCUGAGGACAGCAACUUUUCUGAAACCCAUCAUGACAAAGACUCUGCAAGUGGUGGAGAUGCUCCAGCUUCUGGAGCAGAUAUGGAAGAGCCCAAGUAUGCAGACGGCCGUCGGCAUAUACCAACAAGUCCUCUCCCGGCACCUGCAGAAAACGCAAUAGAGACACACCCUGAACAGGCAGAAGAAAUAAAACCUAGUGAGCUCGAGGAGGAUAAGGAUGCUGAAGAGACUGACCCGACCUGUUGUGGCCUGACCUGUUGUGGCCUUUGUAUUUGAUGGUGGAAAUCCCUAAAGGCAAGUAAAGGAUGCCCUGAGAACAUCCUCCAGGGAACAGACACCCUCUCCAUAGCAGCCC